rnacentral:rRNA from 1 species
AGGAUGAACGCUAGCGGCAGGCUUAAUACAUGCAAGUCGAGGGGCAGCAGGGGUGGCAAUACUCGCUGGCGACCGGCAAACGGGUGCGGAACACGUACGCAACUUUCCUUCAAGUGAGGAAUAGCCCAGGGAAACUUGGAUUAAUACCUCGUAAUAUUAUGAAGUGGCAUCACUUUAUAAUUAUAGCUCCGGCGCUUGAAGAUGGGCGUGCGCCUGAUUAGGUAGUUGGCGGGGUAACGGCCCACCAAGCCUACGAUCAGUAACUGGUGUGAGAGCACGACCAGUCACACGGGCACUGAGACACGGGCCCGACUCCACGGGAGGCAGCGAGUAAGGAAUAUUGGGCAAUGGACGCAAGUCUGACCCGAGCCAUCGCCGCGUGGAGGAUGGAACGGUCCUCGUGGUAUUU